rnacentral:rRNA from 1 species
UGGGGAAUAUUGCACAAUGGGCGAAAGCCUGAUGCAGCAACGCCGCGUGAGGGACGACGGCCUUCGGGUUGUAAACCUCUUUUAGCAAGGAAGAAGCGAAAGUGACGGUACUUGCAGAAAAAGCGCCGGCUAACUACGUGCCAGCAGCCGCGGUAAUACGUAGGGCGCAAGCGUUAUCCGGAAUUAUUGGGCGUAAAGAGCUCGUAGGCGGUUUGUCGCGUCUGCUGUGAAAACCCGAGGCUCAACCUCGGGCCUGCAGUGGGUACGGGCAGACUAGAGUGCGGUAGGGGAGAUUGGAACUCCUGGUGUAGCGGUGGAAUGCGCAGAUAUCAGGAAGAACACCGAUGGCGAAGGCAGAUCUCUGGGCCGUAACUGACGCUGAGGAGCGAAAGGGUGGGGAGCAAACAGGCUUAGAUACCCUGGUAGUCCACCCGUAAACGUUGGAACUAGUUGUGGGUCCAUUCCACGGAUUCCGUGACGCAGCUAACGCAUUAAGUUCCCCGCCUGGGGAGUACGGCCGCAAGGCUAAACUCAAAGGAAUUGACGGGGUCAUAGCUGUUUCCU